UACGUAGGUGGCAAGCGUUGUCCGGAUUUACUGGGCGUAAAGAGCGCGCAGGCGGUCGUUCAAGUCGCGUGUGAAAGCCCCCGGCUCAACUGGGGAGGGUCACGCGAUACUGAUCGACUCGAAGGCAGGCGAGGGAAGUGGAAUUCCCGGUGUGGUGGUGAAAUGCGUAGAUAUCGGGAGGAACACCAGUGGCGAAGGCGACUUCCUGGCCUGUUCUUGACGCUGAGGCGCGAAAGCUAGGGGAGCAAACGGG
rnacentral:rRNA from 1 species